GGGCAACCUAGUCAUUUUCUCCGUUGACAAAAUCUCAUCUUUGCAAACUGCACAAGCUGCAUUGCUUCCUUUCAAAUGUUCAUCACUCACGACCACCAAAGGAAGAUUUUCCAGCACAGAUUUAGCUGUUGGUGGACUACCCUUUAACCUCUCUUGGCUUCCAACAAAAUCAACAGCACCAAACCCACCGCCAUCUUGAAGUAUAACAGCAUUGUGAAGUUCAAGGCUCCUUUCGAGAUCAUUAACCGCCACCAGAAAUUCCCAUUCUAAAUUCCUCGAUUGCCCCCCUU
rnacentral:misc_RNA from 1 species